UGAUGUCAUCCACGCACAGGAGCGCGUCCUUGGCCCGGUUGGGGAACUGCGUCAGCUGCGCCGGGUUGCACCCUUGCGGCGGCGUGUUGACGAUGAAGUAGAGCCGCCCACCGGAAUCAUGAAGCGUCUGAAAAAGCAGGUCACUAAUUACAUCCACAACAAAUGCCAAAUAUAAUCUUGAGCAGACAUAGGAGAUAAGAUUUGACUUACGGUGAUGGCCGUCUUGACUGCAGCAACAGUGGCUGGAACGAACGAGACGAUGACGACUGGCGACGGCAGGUUCAGCACACUUGCGGCGACGAACAGGUCGAUGCCUCCGAUUUCAGGAAUGUAGUACGCGCCGUCGCUGAACGCAUUCCACACUGGUUGAUACGGACCUUUCGCUGCACAUGUAAAUCCCAGCCAAAUCAGUCUAGAUUUUUCGGCACCAGUGGCAUUUUCUAAGUGCAAUUCAAGUUCCUUGAUACCCUUUCUGUAUUCUUACAGUAGGCUCCAUUCUGUAGAUGCAACAUAGAUUUAUCGAUGAGUUUGACCAAGAUUUAGAAUGAUAAUCUUGCAUGUUGUGAAGGGCUUGUGUAGAGAGAUUUCGACCAUGGCAUGAUCUGAUAUUGGUGGUAAGUUACUGUAUGGCACAUUGGGCGACAUUAUUCCCUUAUUUGGAUAAGAAUCGUCUUGACGCCGCAUCUGAUUGAAUAUGACAGCAAAACAUAAGGAUCUUUCAUUUGUGUCAAUAAAAUAAAAAAAAAUGAGAUCACUCUAUUUCUUGCCCGGUUGGUGGCACAGUGAAAUGGUAAUUGUUUUCAA
rnacentral:lncRNA from 1 species